rnacentral:rRNA from 1 species
CCUACGGGAGGCUGCAGUAGGGAAUCUUCCACAAUGGGCGAAAGCCUGAUGGAGCAACGCCGCGUGGGUGAAGAAGGUCUUCGGAUCGUAAAACCCUGUUGAUAGAGAAGAAAGUGCGUGAGAGUAACUGUUCACGUUUCGACGGUAUCUAACCAGAAAGCCACGGCUAACUACGUGCCAGCAGCCGCGGUAAUACGUAGGUGGCAAGCGUUAUCCGGAUUGAUUGGGCGUAAAGGGAACGCAGGCGGUCUUUUAAGUCUGAUGUGAAAGCCUUCGGCUUAACCGGAGUAGUGCAUUGGAAACUGGGAGACUUGAGGGCAGAAGAGGAGAGUGGAACUCCAUGUGUAGCGGUGAAAUGCGUAGAUAUAUGGAAGAACACCAGUGGCGAAAGCGGCUCUCUGGUCUGUAACUGACGCUGAGGUUCGAAAGCGUGGGUAGCAAACAGGAUUAGAUACCCGGGUAGUC